CUCACAUCUAUCAUAAUUUUUUUUUUAAAUCGUUCGAAAUCUUAAAUUUUUGUAUUCAAAGUCAAAUUUGCAAUGUCUUUUACAUUCAGUUGUUGGAGCUAUUUACCGCCAGGUGCGUGCUGAGUGAAUUUGCUGAAUGAGCUUUCUUUCAAAAUCUCCAUUUUGUUUAUAACUGUCAAUUCACAUAGCGAAUAAAAGAAGGGAGAAAGCGAAAAAGUCAUCAAAUAGAGAAAACAAGUCAGCUGCAGAAAAAAUUGUCCCAUAAAUAAACGCAAUUAUUGGCGUCGUAAAAGUACAAAAGUUUUGCAGAAAUUGCAGUUAUUUAGAAGGAAAAACACACACAUUUUUUGGAAGUCUAAAUUUAUUUAAAACGUAAUGGCGCAGAACAUCAGUCCAGAGCACAGUGGAGUGGACACGGGCAAACAAGGUGCUAACUCUUGUGCGGCAAAACAUGGACAUGCAGUUAGUAAACGGCUACAAAAGGAACUAAUGAACCUAAUGAUGGGAACAGAAAAGGGUAUUUCAGCAUUCCCAGAUGGCGAAAAUAUAUUCAAGUGGAUCGGCACUAUCACUGGUGCGGCAAAUACUGUAUAUGCUGGCCAAAAAUAUCGUCUUUCGUUAGAAUUCCCAAACUCAUAUCCAUAUGCACCGCCAGCCGUUAAAUUUUUAACACCUUGUUUCCAUCCAAACGUAGACUUAGCUGGCUGCAUUUGUUUGGAUAUUUUGAAGGAUAAAUGGUCAGCAUUAUACGAUGUACGCACAAUCCUGCUAUCCAUUCAGUCACUUUUGGGUGAGCCUAAUAAUGACAGUCCGCUAAACGCUCAGGCGGCAAUGAUGUGGGCGGAUCAAGCCGAGUACAAAAAAUACCUGGAUGCCUUCUACGAAAAACACAAGGAUACAUAAAUUCCUAGAUGAAGAAAUGUUAAAAAACUAUGCGAUUGACGCUUUGAUAGAAAAAAUAUAAAUAAUAAUUUUGAUGGCGUUUUGGUGGUCGUCGGUUUGACGACAGUCAACGAAAUGUAUCUCCACUGUGCUGCUUUUUCACACAUCAAAUUAAUUCAUUUAUUGUUUUAAAAAGUUACUACAUUUUGUUGUCCGUUCACUGCCGACGCUGCCACCGUGAGCCUGUGAGCAAACACAUAAAACACAUUAAGUACUUUUUUAAGAGAUAUUCGCUAUAUAUAAGAACAUUUUAAGUAGGUGUAAUUGAAUUUUUUAUCAACGCUUUCAUGUAAUUAUUUUUGCUAUUAUUUAGUAUUUAAAAGUUUGUUUACAUAAGUGGCAGAAAUAUAUAAAACAAAUUAUUCUUAUUUAGCAUAUUGUAAAAAAUCUAAUGAAACAGUUCUAAAGCGAAGCAGUCAAACAAUAAAAACACAACUCAAAUUUAUUUGUUAAUUAUGUUUAGUUUUUGUAUUCGAUUGUAUAUGUGAAUUUCAAGUUUAAAGAAGUGUUAAGAACUUAUUGGAUAUAUAAAACAAGCACACCUAGCAUCCUAUUGGAAUUCACAGUUUCGGAAUGUAUCAUGCCCAUUACCAUCUAAAUUAUGAAAUAAUGUCAACAAAAAUUAGAAUGAUAUAAAUUGUAUUGAUUAAAGAUAAAUAAUUGUAACGGUAAAAACCACUUUGAGAAACUAAGACAUUAAAAUAGUAUUGUAUUCCCUCAUGAAAA
rnacentral:misc_RNA from 1 species